CUACGGGUCGCUCCAGUGGGGAAUAUUGGACAAUGGGCGGAAGCCUGAUCCAGCCAUGCCGCGUGUGUGAAGAAGGCCUUUUGGUUGUAAAGCACUUUAAGCGAGGAGGAGGCUCCUUUAGUUAAUACCUAAAGUGAGUGGACGUUACUCGCAGAAUAAGCACCGGCUAACUCUGUGCCAGCAGCCGCGGUAAUACAGAGGGUGCGAGCGUUAAUCGGAUUUACUGGGCGUAAAGCGUGCGUAGGCGGCUUUUUAAGUCGGAUGUGAAAUCCCUGAGCUUAACUUAGGAAUUGCAUUCGAUACUGGAAAGCUAGAGUAUGGGAGAGGAUGGUAGAAUUCCAGGUGUAGCGGUGAAAUGCGUAGAGAUCUGGAGGAAUACCGAUGGCGAAGGCAGCCAUCUGGCCUAAUACUGACGCUGAGGUACGAAAGCAUGGGGAGCAAACAGGAUUAGAUACCCUCGUAGUC
rnacentral:rRNA from 1 species